AUUGAACGCUGGCGGCAUGCUUUACACAUGCAAGUCGAACGGUAACAGGCCGCAUGGUGCUGACGAGUGGCGAACGGGUGAGUAAUGCAUCGGAACGUGCCCAGUCGUGGGGGAUAACGCAGCGAAAGUUGCGCUAAUACCGCAUACGAUCUAUGGAUGAAAGCGGGGGACCGUAAGGCCUCGCGCGAUUGGAGCGGCCGAUGUCAGAUUAGGUAGUUGGUGGGGUAAAGGCUCACCAAGCCGACGAUCUGUAGCUGGUCUGAGAGGACGACCAGCCACACUGGGACUGAGACACGGCCCAGACUCCUACGGGAGGCAGCAGUGGGGAAUUUUGGACAAUGGGCGCAAGCCUGAUCCAGCAAUGCCGCGUGCAGGAAGAAGGCCUUCGGGUUGUAAACUGCUUUUGUACGGAACGAAACGGUCCUGGUUAAUACCCGGGGCUAAUGACGGUACCGUAAGAAUAAGCACCGGCUAACUACGUGCCAGCAGCCGCAGUAACAC
rnacentral:rRNA from 1 species